rnacentral:rRNA from 1 species
UACGUAGGGAGCAAGCGUUGUCCGGAAUUACUGGGUGUAAAGGGUGCGUAGGCGGCCGUAAGGGUCAGACGUGAAAUAUAUGGGCUUAACCCAUAGACUGCGUUUGAAACUAUAUGGCUUGAGUGAAGUAGAGGCAAGCGGAAUUCCCUGUGUAGCGGUGAAAUGCGUAGAGAUAGGGAGGAACACCAGUGGCGAAGGCGGCCUGCUGGGCUUUAACUGACGCUGAGGCACGAAAGCGUGGGUAGCAAACAGG